GGGCGUUUGGUUUAGGGGUAUAACAUUCGCUUCGCAAUUGUGAAAAUGCGAAAGGUCCUGGGUUCAAUUCCCAGAACGUCCA